ACAGCAGUAGCCACGGGAAUACCGAGGGUGCAAGCGUUAAUCGGAAUUACUGGGCGUAAAGCGCGCGUAGGUGGUUUGUUAAGUUGGAUGUGAAAGCCCCGGGCUCAACCUGGGAACUGCAUCCAAAACUGGCAAGCUAGAGUACGGUAGAGGGUGGUGGAAUUUCCUGUGUAGCGGUGAAAUGCGUAGAUAAAGGAAGGAACACCAGUGGCGAAGGCGACCACCUGGACUGAUACUGACACUGAGGUGCGAAAGCGUGGGGAGCAAACAGGAUUAGAUACCCCAGUAGUCCCUGUCUCUUAUAC
rnacentral:rRNA from 1 species